rnacentral:piRNA from 1 species
UUGUAUGUUUGUGUGUGAGCGUGCGC